rnacentral:rRNA from 1 species
GAUGAACGCUGGCGGCGUGCCUAAUACAUGCAAGUCGAGCGAACGGACGAGAAGCUUGCUUCUCUGAUGUUAGCGGCGGACGGGUGAGUAACACGUGGAUAACCUACCUAUAAGACUGGGAUAACUUCGGGAAACCGUAGCUAAUACCGGAUAAUAUUUUGAACCGCAUGGUUGAAAAGUGAAAGACGGUCUUUCUGUCACUUAUAGAUGGAUCCGCGCUGCAUUAGCUAGUUGGUAAGGUAACGGCUUACCAAGGCAACGAUGCAUAGCCGAGCUGAGAGGGUGGUCGGCCACACGGGAGCUGAGCCGCGGUCCAGGCUCCUGCGGGAGGCAGCAGUAGGCAAUCUUACGCAACGGGCGAGAGCCUGACGGAGCAGCGCCGCGUGAGUUGUGAAGGUCUUCGGAUCGUAAAACUCUGUUAUUAGGGAAGAACAUAUGUGUAAGUAGCUGUGCACAUCUUGACGGUACCUAAUCAGAAAGCCACGGCUAACUACGUG